GAGGGUAUAGCUCAGUGGUAGAGUGUGUGUUUAGCAUGCACAAGGUCCUGGGUUCAAUCCCCAAUAACUUCC
rnacentral:tRNA from 1 species